rnacentral:rRNA from 1 species
GGCGAUGAUGUCUAGGGGGUCUUAAAGGAUGAUCCCCCACACUGGUACUGAGACACGGACCAGACUCCUACGGGAGGCAGCAGUGAGGAAUAUUGGGCAAUGGGCGAAAGCCUGACCCAGCCAUGCCGCGUGCAGGAAGAAUGCUUUACGAGUUGUAAACUGCUUUUGUAUGGGAAGAACUCCCCCGAAUCCUCGGGGACUGACGGUACCAUACGAAUAAGGAUCGGCUAACUCCGUGCCAGCAGCCGCGGUAAUACGGAGGAUCCAAGCGUUAUCCGGAUUUAUUAGGUUUAAAGGGUGUGUAGGCGGAAUAAUAAGGCAGUGGUGAAAUCCUACAGCUUAACUGUAGAACUGCCAUUGAUACUGUUUUUCUUGAGUAUAGUUGAGGUGAGCGGAAUGUGUCAUGUAGCGGUGAAAUGCUCAGAUAUGCCACAGAACUCCGAUUGCGUAGGCAGCUCACUAAACUAAUACUGACGCUGAUGCACGAAAGCGCGGGGAGCAAACAGGAUUAGAUACCCUGGUAGUCCGCGCCGUAAACGAUGAUUACUCGAUGUAUGCGACAAAUUGUAUGCGUCUGAGCGAAAGCAUUAAGUAAUCCACCUGGGGAGUACGAUCGCAAGAUUGAAACUCAAAGGAAUUGACGGGGGCCCGCACAAGCGGAGGAACAUGUGGUUUAAUUCGAUGAUACGCGAGGAACCUUACCUGGGCUUAAAUGCUUUUUGAUUUUCCGGGAAACUGGGAUUCCCUUCGGGGCAGAUUGCAAGGUGCUGCAUGGCUGUCGUCAGCUCGUGCCGUGAGGUGUCGGGUUAAGUCCCAUAACGAGCGCAACCCCUAUUAUUAGUUGCCAGCGGAUAAUGCCGGGGACUCUAAUAAGACUGCCAGUGUAAACUGUGAGGAAGGUGGGGAUGACGUCAAGUCAGCACGGCCCUUAUGUCCAGGGCUACACACGUGUUACAAUGGCCGAUACAGAAAGCAGCUACUUGGCAACAAGAUGCUAAUCUCAAAAGUCGGUCUCAGUUCGGAUCGGAGUCUGCAAUUCGACUUCGUGAAGUUGGAUUCGCUAGUAAUCGUAUAUCAGCAAUGAUACGGUGAAUACGUUCCCGGGCCUUGUACACACCGCCCGUCAAGCCAUGGAAGUUGGGGGUACCUAAAAUUCGUAACCGCAAGGAGCGACCUAGGGUAAAACCAGUAACUGGGGCUAAGUCGUAACAAGGUA